rnacentral:rRNA from 1 species
UACGUAGGGGGCAAGCGUUGUCCGGAAUCAUUGGGCGUAAAGAGCGUGUAGGCGGCCCGGUAAGUCCGCUGUGAAAGUCCAGGGCUCAACCCUGGGAUGCCGGUGGAUACUGUCGGGCUCGAGUCCGGAAGAGGAGUGUGGAAUUCCUGGUGGUAGCGGUGAAAUGCGGCAGAUAUCAGGAGGAACACCGGUGGCGAAGGCGGCGAUCUGGGUAGAUACUGACGCUGAGGUGCGAAAGCGUGGGGAGCAAACAGG